rnacentral:rRNA from 1 species
UACAGAGGGGUGCAAGCGUUGUCCGGAAUCACUGGGCGUAAAGGGCGCGUAGGCGGCUCAUGAAGGCUGUGGUGAAAGUCCGGGGCUCAACCUCGGAUCGGCCGUGGCGACUCGUGGGCUGGAGCACUGUAGAGGCGGGUGGAAUUCCGGGUGUAGCGGUGGAAUGCGUAGAGAUCCGGAAGAACACCAGUGGCGAAGGCGGCCCGCUGGGCAGUGGCUGACGCUGAGGCGCGACAGCGUGGGGAGCGAACAGG